GCUUGGUCCUGACUUUACUGUCGGCUGUUACUAAACUUACACAUGCAAGUCUCCGCACCCCUGUGAGGAUGCCCUUAACGUCCCUACCCGGACACCAGGAGCUGGUAUCAGGCACACAAUCUGCCCGCCCAAGACGCCUUGCUUUGCCACACCCCCAAGGGAACUCAGCAGUGAUAAACAUUAAGCCAUAGGCGAAAGCCUGACCUAGUGAAAGUAAACAGAGCCGGCCAAACUCGUGCCAGCCGCCGCGGUUAUACGAGAGGCUCAAGUCGAUAGAAACCGGCGUAAAGGGUGGUUAAUUCUAUAUGCAAGCUAGAGGAAAAUGCCUUCCAAGCUGUUAUACGCACCCGAAGGUAAGAAAAACCCACACGAAAGACCCUCUAAUAAAUAUGAACCCACGACAGCUUUGGCACAAACUGGGAUUAGAUACCCCACUAUGCUCGGCCGUAAACUUAGAUAACUAAUUAUAAUGUUUAUCCGCCAGGGUACUACGAGCAUAAGCUUAAAACCCAAAGGACUUGGCGGUGCUUCAGACCCUCCUAGAGGAGCCUGUUCUAGAACCGAUAUUCCUCGUUAAACCUCACCGCCUCUUGUUCACCCCCGCCUAUAUACCGCCGUCGUCAGCUUACCCUUUGAAGGUAAUAAAGUAAGCGAAACAGUCACAAACAAAAACGUCAGGUCGAGGUGUAGCGUAUGAGGCGGGAAGAAAUGGGCUACAUUCUCUUUCCGCAGAGAAAAACGGAAGGGGCAGUGAAACCUGCCCCCAAAGGUGGAUUUAGCAGUAAGCAAGAAAUAGAGUGUCUUGCUGAAACCGGCUCUGAAGCGCGCACACACCGCCCGUCACUCUCCCCGACGACUCACUAAUUUUCAUAAAGAAAAACAAAAAAAAGGGGAGGCAAGUCGUAACAAGGUAAGUGUACCGGAAGGUGCACUUGGACAAC
rnacentral:ncRNA from 1 species